rnacentral:rRNA from 1 species
GACGAACGCUGGCGGCGUGCCUAAUACAUGCAAGUAGAACGCACAGUUUAUACCGUAGCUUGCUACACCAUAGACUGUGAGUUGCGAACGGGUGAGUAACGCGUAGCUAACCUGCCUGGUAGCGGGGGAUAACUAUUGGAAACGAUAGCUAUUACCGCAUAAUAUUGAUUAUUGCAUGAUAAUUAAUUGAAUGGUGCAAUUGCACCACUACCAGAUGGACCUGCGUUGUAUUAGCUAGUAGGUGAGGUAACGGCUCACCUAUGCGACGAUACAUAGCCGACCUGAGAGGGUGAUCGGCCACACUGGGACUGAGACACGGCCCAGACUCCUACGGGAGGCAGCAGUAGGGAAUCGUCGGCAAUGGACGAAAGUCUGACCGAGCAACGCCGCGUGAGUGAAGAAGGUUUUCGGAUCGUAAAGCUCUGUUGUAAGAGAAGAACGGGUGUGAGAGUGGAAAGUUCACACUGUGACGGUAUCUUACCAGAAAGGGACGGCUAACUACGUG